rnacentral:tRNA from 3 species
GGGCCCAUAGCUCAACGGUUAGAGCGGCCGGCUCAUAACCGGUUGGUUCCGGGUUCAAGUCCUGGUGGGCCCA